GUGCUCACUUCAGCAGCACAUAUACUAAAGUUGGAACAAUACAGAGAAGACUAGCAGGGCCUCUGCACAAAGAUGACACGAAAAUUCAUGUAGCGUUCCAUAUGUUU